rnacentral:rRNA from 1 species
UACGAGGGGGGCGAGCGUUGUUCGGAAUUAUUGGGCGUAAAGGGUGCGUAGGCGGUUUGGUAAGUCUUGUGUGAAAUCUCCAGGCUCAACUUGGAGUCUGCACGAGAAACUGCCGGGCUUGAGUGUGGGAGAGGACGAGGGAAUUCCUGGUGUAGCGGUGAAAUGCGUAGAUAUCAGGAGGAACACCGGUGGCGAAAGCGCUCGUCUGGCCCAAUACUGACGCUGAUGCGCGAAAGCUAGGGGAGCAAACGGG